UACGUAGGGGGCAAGCGUUGUCCGGAAUCAUUGGGCGUAAAGCGCGCGUAGGCGGCCCGGUAAGUCCGUUGUGAAAGUCAGAGGCCUCAACCUCUGGGAGGCCAAUGGAUACUGCCGGGCUAGAGUCCGGAAGAGGCGAGUGGAAUUCCCGGUGUAGUGGUGAAAUGCGUAGAUAUCGGGAGGAACACCAGUGGCGAAGGCGACUACCUGGCCUGUUCUUGACGCUGAGGCGCGAAAGCUAGGGGAGCAAACGGG
rnacentral:rRNA from 1 species